rnacentral:rRNA from 1 species
GACGAACGCUGGCGGCGUGCUUAACACAUGCAAGUCGAACGGAAAGGCCCUGCUUUUGUGGGGUGCUCGAGUGGCGAACGGGUGAGUAACACGUGAGUAACCUGCCCUUGACUUUGGGAUAACUUCAGGAAACUGGGGCUAAUACCGGAUAGGAGCUCCUGCUGCAUGGUGGGGGUUGGAAAGUUUCGGCGGCUGGGGAUGGACUCGCGGCUUAUCAGCUUGUUGGUGGGGUAGUGGCUUACCAAGGCUUUGACGGGUGGCCGGCCUGAGAGGGUGACCGGCCACAUUGGGACUGAGAUACGGCCCAGACUCCUACGGGAGGCAGCAGUGGGGAAUAUUGCACAAUGGGCGGAAGCCUGAUGCAGCAACGCCGCGUGCGGGAUGACGGCCUUCGGGUUGUAAACCGCUUUCGCCUGUGACGAAGCGUGAGUGACGGUAAUGGGUAAAGAAGCACCGGCUAACUACGUG